UGAUGAUUCGGGAGCCCCAAGCGGCAUGU
rnacentral:sRNA from 1 species